rnacentral:lncRNA from 1 species
AAGGCCAUUGAGAUUUAAGUUGAUCAAAGGUAAUCAUCCAUGCAUACCGAUCUGAGAUAAUUAUUUGAGAGUAUCGAUCUGAGCUCUGCUCUUUUUAAUACUAGUGGUAUUUUUGCUUUGCUCAUUGAUGCGAGCAGUAUUUUUGCUCUGUUUGUUAAUGCGAGCAUCAUUUUUGCUCUGCUCAUUGAUGCGAGUGGUGGCAUUUUUGGUCUUCUCAUUGAUGUGAUAGGCCGAUCAAAGGUCGAUUAUUGCGAAUUGAGCAUC